rnacentral:rRNA from 1 species
AUUGAACGCUGGCGGCAUGCCUUACACAUGCAAGUCGAACGGCAGCGCGGGGCAACCUGGCGGCGAGUGGCGAACGGGUGAGUAAUAUAUCGGAACGUACCCUGGAGUGGGGGAGUAACGUAGCGAAAGUUACGCUAAUACCGCAUACGAUCUAAGGAUGAAAGUGGGGGAUCGCAAGACCUCAUGCUCCUGGAGCGGCCGAUAUCUGAUUAGCUAGUUGGUGGGGAAAGGCCUACCAAGGCAUCGAUCAGUAGCUGGUCUGAGAGGACGACCAGCCACACUGGAACUGAGACACGGUCCAGACUCCUACGGGAGGCAGCAGUGGGGAAUUUUGGACAAUGGGCGCAAGCCUGAUCCAGCAAUGCCGCGUGAGUGAAGAAGGCC